rnacentral:tRNA from 1 species
GGAUUGUGGCUCAGCGGUAGAGUGCUUGCUUUGCACAUGCGAAGCCCUGGGUUCAAUCCUCAGCACCA